AUUAAUUAAGUCAGCAGUGACUCGAAACUAUAGUGAGAAAUGUAUCAAUAGCAUCAUGGACUAUGUCUCAGGUUCAGCUAGCCAGAACUUCAGCCUUUUGCAGGAAUUUUACCAAACAACUCUGAAAGCCCUUGAAGAAGCAAAGAAUGAGAGAUUGUGGUUCAAGACAAAUCUGAAGCUCUGCAAGAUUUUCUUCGAUAUUGGUGAAUAUGGACGAAUGAGUAAGAUAUUGAAGGAACUUCAUAAAUCUUGUCAAAGGGAAGAUGGCACAGAUGACCACAAGAAAGGAACCCAACUUUUGGAGGUAUAUA